rnacentral:rRNA from 1 species
CCUACGGGAGGCAGCAGUGGGGAAUAUUGGGCAAUGGGCGAAAGUCUGACCCAGCAAUGCCGCGUGAAUGAAGAAGGUCUUAGGAUUGUAAAAUUCUGUCGUAUGGGAAGAAAACAAUGACGGUACCAUAAGAGGAAGCUCCGGCUAACUAGGUGCCAGCAGCCGCGGUAAUACGUAGGGGGCGAGCGUUGUCCGGAAUUACUGGGCGUAAAGGGUGCAUAGGCGGUAGUACAAGUCUCAUGGGAAAUACCCGGGCUUAACCUGGGUGUUGCAUGUGAAACUGUAUGGCUUGAGUGCAGGAGAGGCGAGUGGAAUGCCUAGUGUAGCGGUGGAAUGCGUAGAUAUUAGGAGGAACACCAGAGGCGAAGGCGGCUAACUGGACUGUAACUGACGCUGAGGCACGAAAGCGUGGGGAGCAAACAGGAUUAGAUACCCGUGUAGUC